rnacentral:rRNA from 1 species
AUUGAACGCUGGCGGCAGGCUUAACACAUGCAAGUCGAGCGGUAACAGAGAGAAGCUUGCUUCUCUGCUGACGAGCGGCGGAGGGGUGAGUAAUGCCUAGGAAUCUGCCUAGUAGUGGGGGAUAACUUGCCGAAAGGUAAGCUAAUACCGCAUACGUCCUACGGGAGAAAGGAGGGGACCUUCGGGCCUUUCGCUAUUAGAUGAGCCUAGGUCGGAUUAGUUAGUUGGUGAGGUAAUGGCUCACCAAGACCGCGAUCCGUAACUGGUCUGAGAGGAUGAUCAGUCACACUGGAACUGAGACACGGUCCAGACUCCUACGGGAGGCAGCAGUGGGGAAUAUUGGACAAUGGGGGGAACCCUGAUCCAGCCAUGCCGCGUGUGUGAAGAAGGUCUUAGGAUUGUAAAGCACUUUAAGUUGGGAGGAAGAGCAGUUAACUAAUAUUUGACUGUUUUGACGUUACCGACAGAAUAAGCACCGGCUAACUUCGUG